AGGGCACCACCAGGAGUGGAGCUUGCGGCUUAAUUUGACUCAACACGGGAAACCUCACCCGGCCAGUACAUUAUAAGGAUUGACAGAUUGAAAGCUCUUUCAUGAUUUGAUGAAUGGUGGUGCAUGGCCGUUCUUAGUUCGUGGCGUGAGUCGACUGCUUAAUUGCGAUAACGAGCGAGACUCCGACUGUUAAAUAGCGGUGGGUUCACUUCGACCCUUACGCUUCUUAACGGGAUUCGUUACUCCAAGUAUCAAGAAAUGGAGCAAUAACAGGUCUGUGAUGCCCUUAGAUGUUCGGGGCAGCACGCGUGCUACAAUGGUGGUAACAGCGUGAUUGUCCUCGCCCGACAGGGCUUGGCAAACAGUUGAGAUAUUAUUAUGGCUGGAAUUGAGUGUUGAAAUUUUCUCUCAUGAACGAGGAAUUCCAAGUAAAUGCGAGUCAUCAACUUGCAUUGAUUACGUCCCUGCCCUUUGUACACACCGCCCGUCGCUACCCGGGACUGAGUUAUUUCGAGAAAU
rnacentral:rRNA from 1 species